UUUGCCAUUUUGCCCUGAAACCUAGCGCAUUGCAUUUGCGUUGUUUGUAAAUGCCUAGAACAACUGUGCUGUCAGCCAGACCUGGUGCUGAUGUGAUGGGUGAGACAGAAGCAAGGGCCAAGUGAAGGGAUCUGACACUGGACUCCAUAAAUGUCUGUUACAAUGUUCUUUAAUUGAAGUUGAAAUGAAGGAGCUGAUGUAAAAGGAAGGAAAUGAACCAGCCGUAUGAACUUGACUGGACGAGUGGAUUGAAAAAGAUCCUUCCCACAAAGACUCAAACGGCGUUUGCAAAGAUGACACUUCUCACCAUGCUUCAGUUAGGAAUGUU